GACGAACGCUGGCGGCGUGCUUUACACAUGCAAGUCGAGCGAUGAGAUCCCUUCGGGGAAGGAUUAGCGGCGAACGGGUGAGGAACACGUGAGGAAUCUGCCUUCAACACUGGGAUAACUCCGGGAAACCGGGGCUAAUACCGGAUACGAGACCUGCAGGCAUCUGCGGGUCUGGAAAGUUUUUCGGUUGAAGAUGACCUCGCGGCCUAUCAGCUUGUUGGUGAGGUAAUGGCUCACCAAGGCGACGACGGGUAGCCGGCCUGAGAGGGCGACCGGCCACACUGGGACUGAGACACGGCCCAGACUCCUACGGGAGGCAGCAGUGGGGAAUAUUGGACAAUGGAGGGAACUCUGACCCAGCGACGUCGCGUGCGGGAUGAAGGCCUUCGGGUUGUAAACCGCUUUCAGCAAGGAAGAAGCGAAAGUGACGGUACUUGCAGAAGAAGCACCGGCUAACUAUGUGCCAGCAGCCGCGGUAAUACAUAGGGUGCAAGCGUUGUCCGGAAUUAUUGGGCGUAAAGAGCUCGUAGGUGGUUCGUCACGUCGGAUGUGAAAAUCUGGGGCUUAACCCCAGACCUGCAUUCGAUACGGGCGAGCUAGAGUGUGGUAGGGGAGACUGGAAUUCCUGGUGUAGCGGUGGAAUGCGCAGAUAUCAGGAGGAACACCAAUGGCGAAGGCAGGUCUCUGGGCCAUUACUGACACUGAGGAGCGAAAGCGUGGGGAGCGAACAGGAUUAGAUACCCUGGUAGUCCACGCCGUAAACGGUGGGCACUAGUUGUGGGAACCUUCCACGGUUUCUGCGACGCAGCUAACGCAUUAAGUGCCCCGCCUGGGGAGUACGAUCGCAAGAUUA
rnacentral:rRNA from 1 species